CCUACGGGAGGCAGCAGGGAGGAAUAUUGGGCAAUGGGCGCAAGCCUGACCCAGCAACGCCGCGUGGAGGAAGAAGGCCUUCGGGUUGUAAACUCCUUUUCUGGGGGAAGAGGCAGGACGGUACCCCAGGAAGAAGCACCGGCUGACUACGUGCCAGCAGCCGCGGUAAAACGUAGGGUGCGAGCGUUAUCCGGAUUUAUUGGGCGUAAAGGGCACGCAGGCGGUUCUGCAAGUCGGACGUGAAAGCCUCUGGCUUAACUGGGGGAGGUCGUUCGAGACUGCGGGACUGGAGGGCGGGAGAGGGGUGUGGAAUUCCCGGUGUAGUGGUUAAAUGCGUAGAGAUCAGGAGGAACACCGAUGGCGAAGGCAGCCCCCUGGGUUGACACUGACGCUCAUGCACGAAAGCGUGGGGAGCAAACAGGAUUAGAUCCCUUUGUAGU
rnacentral:rRNA from 1 species